rnacentral:misc_RNA from 1 species
ACACCUUCAAGCUCCGCUUGGUGUUGGGUGACUGUGGCCCCUCGGGGCCACUCGCCUCAAAGUCAUUGGCGGCCGGUUUGUAGGCUUCGAGCGCAGCACAUGUGCGUCUUCGUGCCUCGCGGAUCGGCUCCCAGAAGCUAAAUCUCACAU